GAUGAACGCUGGCGGCGUGCCUAACACAUGCAAGUCGAGCGGCAGCGAGGGGUGCUUGCUCUCUGUCGGCUAGCGGCGGACGGCUGAGUAACGCGUGGAAACGCGCCCCAAAGUAAGGAAUUACUGCCCGAAAGCGUAGCUAAUACCGCGUAUUAUCUUCGAACCAAAGGAUUUAUACGUUUUGGGAGGGGUUCGCGUCGGUUUUGGUGGUUUGUGCGGUAAUUGGGCACCAAGCUGACGAUCCGUAGCUCGUAGGUGAGGAUGCACAGCCAGACUGGAACUGAGACACGGUACGGACUCCUACGGGAGGGAGCAGUGACUGACCGUGCACAAUGGGCUAAAGCCUGAUGGAGCAACGCCGCGUGAAGGACGAAGGCAUUGGAGUUGUAAACUGCUAUUAUAAGUGAGGAAUAUGACGGUAACUAAUGAAUAAGGAACGGCUAACUACGUG
rnacentral:rRNA from 1 species